rnacentral:lncRNA from 1 species
GUUCAGUUUUGUCUCCAUGGCCCCCAUUAAUAUUAGAAGUGUUUUCAUCUUCUUCUUCAUUUCAGCUGUCUUCGUUUUGCAACUUCUUUUCGUUACCGCAGGUUUGUUUUAGUGUCGUUUUCUCUCUUACAUGGUAUCCUGGUUAAAACAAUAGUUAAAAGUGUUUAUACAUUUUUCUUACGGUGAUUUACUAAAAUUGGGUUUGUAUUAAACGCUUUGUAUCUGUGUUUAUACAUUUUUCUUACGGUGAUUUAUUAAAAUUGGGUUUGUAUUAAACGCCCUACAUAUAUUCGCUUAACUACAAUGGUGUUUACAAGUUAUAUGUAUAAUAUACAUACAUAAAACACGAGUGUUUGAAGAAGAAAAAACACCACGAGACUACAUACACACCAUAGGCCUAUCGAAAUGUUCAAACAAUAUUGUUUCGCCUAUCACUUGUGGGCCUAUGGUAUCAUCAUCAUCAUACUCGGUAAAUCCCACCAAUAGCAAAGUUAAGGUAGGGUCUGAUGAGGGUAAGAUGUAGACAACCUUACCUCUACCCCGUAGGAAUAGAGAGGCUGCUUCCGGCGAGACCCCCGGCUUGAUGGUAGUUUUGCAUCAAGCCUUGGACAUAAGGCACAUAACACUUGGCAAUUAAGACAAAGGCCAAUUAGUGCAUGUAGUCCCUUGUCUUUCGGCUAUCAACGUCACCACAUGAUGCAUGAUUAACCAUCCCCCUCUUUUAACAUUAUUUUCACGAAAUUGGUAAAAUAACGUUAAAAUUAAUGCACCUUUCACUUUUGCCCUCCGAGCGCCCAUACAUAUACAUUAUAUGCGCAUACCGCAAGCAGGGCAUAUGUGGGCCUAUGGUAUGUUGAUAAAAAAUGAUUGAAUAAGAGUGAGAAAUUUAUAUUGUUUCUUUUUUAAUUCAUGAGUUUUGUAUUUAGAGUUUGUUUAAAUAUGAUUGAAGAACAUUGAGAAAUUUAUGUUGUUACGGGUAAUGAGUUUGGGGUAUUGUAGAUGGAAGCGGGGGAUUCAGAACCGAACGAUAUGAUCCAAGAACACCACCAACCAGUGGCGGACCCAGGAAUUUUUCUAUGGGGGUGCGGAACAUUUUUAAAAAUUUUAGGCCCCUAGGUAUAUAAGUAAAAAAAUCGGUUCGUAUCAGGUCGGGUCAUGUAAAAUAAACGAACAUCAAACUAAAUUUAUAUAAUCAUCAAAACCAUGUCAAACCUUGUUACAAACAUAAUUAAAACGUCGAUGUCCUACGGGUUUUCAUUUUUUUAAAUCUAUCCAAAACAUCAUCUAAAACUAAUUUCGUAAGCAAUUCUUUCUCAAUAUAACAUAAGUUCAUCGCCCCAUAACAUAAUGUUUCAAUUUUAAUUUUAAUUUUCUAACUAUUCAAGCCCUAGAAAUCAUAACGUAAGUUGUAAUCGCCCUAAAAAUAUAUAAACAACAUAAUCACCCUAAAAAUCAUCUAAACAACCAUAAACAACGUCAAAACACACAAACUUUCAAACCUAUUUAACAACUUUAUUACCUUUUUUUCUCCUAUAAUAUCAACCAAAAUCAUCAAAAUAACAAAGAAAGUUACCCGUGUUCGGAUUCCGGUUAGAUUUGGUGUCAAACGACGGUGGUAUGGUGGCUGAUUACCGUGGUCACCGGCUGCUAGACUGUUGUCGUUGGGUGAUGUUGUUCGUUGGCAGUGCAGGGACGCAAGAGAGAGAGAGCGGGAGAGAAUUUCUAAAGGUUUUGGGCUUUAAUUAUUUUAUUAUAGUUUGAAAUAUUGAUGGGUUUGGCUAAUGAGCUAAGACUUAGUGGGCUAGCUACUUAGGAAUUAUAAGUGGGUAAGUGUAUGGGUAUUUGGGUUUAGUUAGUUAGGUAUUAAAAGUUAUAUAAUUUAGGUAGUAUUUUUUUUUAAAUAAGAGUUUACUAAAAAAAUUAAAAUAUAAAUUGAUAACGCUUUUUACCUAAGGGGUGCGGACGAAAAAUUUCAAGGGUGCGGUCGAAAAAUUCCAAGGGAUGCGGACGAAAAAUUUCAAGGGUUGGGCUUGGGUCCGCCCAUGCCACCAACACCACAAGCAAACAUGAUGCCACCUGAAUCGAGUUCGCCACCGCCAAUUUACACUUAAGAUUAUAGUUACUUUAUGUCAAAGCUCACACUACCUUCCUAAGACGCUAUGUUGUUCAAUUCGUAAUGUUACAAUAUAACGUUGUGGUAGUAACAUUUGACAUGGUUGUAAAAAGUUUGUCAUUUUGUGAGUUGAAAUUCUUGCAUAUAAUUUAAAUGUAUUUUGUCGUUUGUCAAAGAGGAAACAAUUUAUAAAUUCUUGU